AUUGAACGCUGGCGGCAUGCCUUACACAUGCAAGUCGAACGGUAACAGGUCUUCGGAUGCUGACGAGUGGCGAACGGGUGAGUAAUACAUCGGAACGUGCCUAGUAGUGGGGGAUAACUACUCGAAAGAGUGGCUAAUACCGCAUGAGAUCUACGGAUGAAAGCAGGGGAUCGCAAGACCUUGUGCUACUAGAGCGGCCGAUGGCAGAUUAGGUAGUUGGUGGGAUAAAAGCUUACCAAGCCGACGAUCUGUAGCUGGUCUGAGAGGACGAUCAGCCACACUGGGACUGAGACACGGCCCAGACUCCUACGGGAGGCAGCAGUGGGGAAUUUUGGACAAUGGGCGAAAGCCUGAUCCAGCAAUGCCGCGUGCAGGAUGAAGGCCUUCGGGUUGUAAACUGCUUUUGUACGGAACGAAAAGCUCUGAGUUAAUACCCUGGGGUCAUGACGGUACCGUAAGAAUAAGCACCGGCUAACUACGUGCCAGCCGCCGCAGUAAUAC
rnacentral:rRNA from 1 species